UAUACUUUAGUAUAAAAUGUACAAAGAUUUUUGGUAUCUUAGGAAAUAGUUUAAUUCUAUUAAGUAUAA
rnacentral:tRNA from 1 species